UGUGGAAAAUCGAUACUCUGGAAUACUCCCGGGUGAAAGCUACAUCGGUAUCCGUGCGCUUGCGGAUUUUUUCUGUUUGCGUUUAAAAUACCCAACAAGCUUUCUGGCGCCGUUGCCGGGGACGGUAGCUGUGCUAGUUUCGAACCAAGUCGUCCGUGUAUCCUUUUUCUUUUCUUUUUUUACCACACUCACCUUAUCACUUUCACCAUACCACAUGGAUUUCACUCUAAGCAUUAAUGAGCAUGGAAUUUAUUUCAUAGCCACUUCAUUUACUCCAUGCUCAUAUGCAACAUCUUCACAAUCCAUUGGUCUCUCCAAAAUCACCACAUUCGAGAUCUCCAACCCCCUCUUCCUUUCUAUUUAUAAAAACUUUAAAAGGGCGGUUGUCGAUGCAUAUGUCUAUAUUAAAUAUUGCAGAUCUCGUUGAAUUGAUCUUGAUAUAGGUCAGCGUUGGAGGGG
rnacentral:lncRNA from 1 species